GACGUAGGGCGCGAGCGUUGUCCGGAUUUAUUGGGCGUAAAGAGCGCGUAGGCGGUCCGAUAAGUCGGCUGUGAAAGUCCAGGGCUCAACCCUGGAAGGCCGGUGGAAACUGUCGGGCUAGAGUCCGGAAGAGGCGAGUGGAAUUCCCCGGUGUAGCGGUGAAAUGCGCAGAUAUCGGGAGGAACACCAAUGGCGAAGGCAGCUCGCUGGGACGGUACUGACGCUGAGACGCGAAAGCGUGGGGAGCAAACAGG
rnacentral:rRNA from 1 species